AAGCAGGACUAGAUGAGCAAGAAGAGCAACGCUUCUCGUACGCGAUGCAACUGGUCAGCUCUGCAGCGCUGCCCAUGGUGCUGCUGGCUGCCAUCCGGCUCGAUGUGUUGGAGGUCAUUGCCCAAGCGGGUCCAGGUGCCCAAUUGUCGCCUUGGGACAUUGCAGCCCAGGCGUGUCCUAAAAACCCUGAUGCGGCUGCUAUGCUGGAUAGGAUGCUGCAGCUCCUGGCUAGCUACUCGGUGCUCACCUGCUCUGUUGCCGAGGCGGAUGCUAGUAUCAGUAGCCGAAGAAGAGUGUAUGGAUUGGCACCGGUGGCCAAAUACUUUGUGCAGAAUAAAACAUAUGCAGCAGGAGGAGGAGGAGUUUCACUAGGCCCCCUGCUGGCCUUGCUUCAGGAUAAGGUCUUCAUUGACAGUUGGUCAGUGUUUUCACUUCCACUUUUAUUUGCUUCUAAAUCUAUUACUUUCAAUUAAGCUUUUACUAUGUCUCGCACGGCUUGCUGGCCAAUAAUGGGCAAGACUUCUGCUCGCUCCUAAGUAAUACGUAAAAAUUCGUUGCACUAUUUUGUGGAAGACCGAAUACCUGGUCAGAAUUAGUGUCCAAAAAAUGGUUCCAGAACCUUUCUUUUCGAAACCAACCUUUCCAAUUCAACAAUUAUUCAUGCCCCUUUACAGGAAAGUACAAGUCCUUGGAUUUGCAAAUGCCACCUUCAAGUCAGAGCAUAAUUUGGCUGUAUAUUAUGUUUCUAAAGUCCCACCUGUGUAGUCCGUCAAAUUUCUGUUUUUGCAUGGAUAAUUAAGUAUCAAUUGCUUUUAUUCAUAGAAAUUAUAAGGUAAGGGUAGUUUGGUUUGUGCAAAAAUCUUCAUCAAAUCUGUCUAAUUUAGGUACCAAUUAGAAGAUGCAGUUCGUGAAGGAGGAGUUCCGUUUGAUAGGGUACAUGGUGUACAUGCGUUUGAAUACCCUGCUAGAGAUCCCAGAUUCAAUGAGGUCUUCAACAAGGCAAUGAUCAACCCCACAACUAUUGCCAUUAACAGAAUCGUUAAACGCUACAAAGGUUUUGAGCACCUCAAAACUUUGGUAGAUGUUGGUGGUGGGCUUGGAGUUACCCUCGGCGUGAUCACAGCUAAAUACCCAAGUCUCAAGGGUAUUAAUUUUGAUUUGCCACAUGUUAUCCAACAUGCACCGGUCUAUCCUGGUAUAAUUCUGUCCUUUCUCUCGAAAUCAUAUGCAUAGUUUGAUUAACAAAUAGUAGAUAGCAUGCAAAGACUGAAGAAGGAUACAGGUGCCAAUACUUUUUUCAUAAAUUUCAUUGAGAUGCAAAAUAUACUUAGGAAUUAGAGGCAUAGUAUUGUGGAUAGAGACAUUAUUGCUGAGUUCUCUAUCUUAAACCUUUUGUUGGGUAAAGAAACUUGCAUAUGUCAUAUGGAGCUGAUUACCUUAUUUGCAGUCCCUAUAUGCAGAAUUGUUUAAAAACCAUAAUUUCUUUCAUCUCGUAUAACAUUCUUUCAUAGUGGUCUUCUAGCUUCUAUUCUUAUUAAGGUGAAUUUUGCAGGGGUAGAACAUGUUGGAGGAGACAUGUUUGACAGUGUUCCACAAGGGGAUGCCAUUUUUCUGAGGGUAAGUUGAACUCUUGAGGAAUUCUUAUUAGGACUAAUGAGUUACCAGUCGCAACAAUUAAGCAUACAAUACUUAUUUAAGAAAUGGUCCCUCUGAACAAUAUAUUAUGCCGAUCUUCUCAAACUAAUUAUUGUAGUUUGAGUUGCUUGUUUUACAACUUUAAACUGAUUCUGAAGUGUCCUCUGUAAGAUAUGGACCACAGAAUAAUUGUUACGUUCUUUAUCGUUCUCUUCUUUCUUUUGAUGCUUUUUACAUGCGUUCUUUUGUAGUCGAUACUUCAUGAUUGGGAUGAUGGUCGUUGCUUGAAGUUGCUAAAGAACUGUUUCAAGGCUCUACCAAAGGAUGGAAAGGUAAUAGUUGUAGAUGCAAUUGUUCCUGUGGUUCCUGAUACUAGUGCAAGCAUCAAAGUCAUUUGCCAGUCUGAUGUAAUCAUGAUGGCUCAAAACCCUGGAGGAAAAGAGAGAUCCGAAGCAGAGUUUCUUGAUUUGGCUACUGCAGCUGGAUUUAGAGGUAUAAGGGUAGAAUGUUUUGUGUGUAAUGCCUGGGUCAUGGAGUUCUACAAGUAGAUGACUAGUUCAUGGCGCAUUGCACUCUAAAAACAUUCUCGUUUUAUCUUCACUAAUUUUAGAUGGAGAAUUGUCUUUUUUUUUGUUUGGGGGGAGGGGGGAUUGGGGAAGAACGUUUGAUGUUAGUCAUAAUAUUGGGCUUGUCAGAAAAAAUAAUGUGGAUUCUCUUGUUUUGGACUAGACAAAUUGUCAUUGGUAAUCUACCAACCAACCAAUUCUCUAAACUGUGCCAAAAAAAAAAGGAGCAUCUUCAUGGCAAACUGAAAUGUUCUACAGAAUGCAAAUUCAUGCAUACGAUGGUUAUAUCAGCUUGAUUGUUGCUUGAGCUUGGCUGUGAACAUCGUCUGGUGUAGCACAUUAAAGGAAAUUGAUUUUGGCUCGAGGUUAGAGUUGCUGAGAUACCAUUAGUCUUUAUGUUCAGUUCCAAAGCUCAAUAGGUUACAUGAUUGAAGAGUGAAAGAAAAACAAAAGCAUGAUGACAUAUACGAUAUACAGCAAGAUAGUUCGAGGAAUUAUGGAGUUUGAACGGUCGCUUGAUUGGCAGCAUUCUAGUCCAUGCACUUUUAGCUGGUCCUAUUGUUUCAUAGGAAAGCCAGAAAAAUGUAAUAAUCAUGUAGAAGGAAUUUGUAGACGUACAUUGCAGGAAAAUCAGUGUGGGAACAAGUGCAAUUGAAGACAAAAGAAUGGGGGAGUUUAGUCUAGUUCUGCUGCUACUUGCCAUUGUGCUAGACAUUGCAUAUCCGCUGAUUUGUAAGCGAUCACUCAAGCAGAUAAUUGAUCCAGAAAAAAAAUGUGGGAAUUCAGGUUGGAAAUGCUUAAUCUUGAAAGAUUAGUGAGUAAAGAAUUACACUCAGAUCAAUGUAACCAAUUCCCACGAGCUAGGAAUCAACGGAAGCCUUUUAAUUCCCACGAACAAGCAUCUAAGAACUUUUGAAGUAAGUUGACAGACAACAUAAUAUAGGCAAAAUCAGCAGGCCAUGAAGUUUGUGGUCAUCAUCCGAGUUCAAGCAGAAGCAGGGUCAAAAUAGAAAGUCUCUAUAACUUUGAGGGUGCAUUUUUAAAUUUAUCUCUCCAGUUUGUGGAUUUAAUCACAAUUUGCAUCUUUUUACGAACUGAAGAACAGAUGCUGACUUCCAUUCAUUCCUCCCGCAAAAUAAAGCAAGUGGGACCAAAGAAAUGAAAAUUUGUUGUUCAAUAUGAUUACCACGUAAGAAGUAUAGAGAAGACAGAAAUCUUUGGCUUGACGGUGGUGUCUAAUUAUGUGUGUGUGCGUGUGAGAGAGAAUAAUAUCACUUAUCCACCUUAAUAAUCUUGUGAUUAUUAUUUUUUUUAAAUUUGAGUGACUUAAUAAUUGAUUUGUCAAAACGUACGAUGAUAAUGCCAAUCAACUUUUCUAAUCUAUCUGUAGAAUUUUAAGACAAUAUGGAAAAGCUAUUUGAAUAAAAUAUUUUUCUUGAAUUUUGUCAUUUGUCUGAAGUAUUUUUGGCCGACAAAAUAAAAAGUAAACAGACAUAAAACAUUGCCCAAUAAACAGACACCACACCAACUCAUGCUUAAGAUGCACCCCCUUUUAACAGAGGGAGAACAAAAAAAAAAAAAAAAAAAAAAGGAGCAGUACUCUCCGUUUGCCAAAAAACAAUCUCUAGUAGUACUAAUACAUCAUAAUACUAUAGUCCAUAAAAAUAUAAAUUUUAAAAAUAAAAAGAUAUUUAUAAAGAAAUGCAGUUGACUAAUUUUACUCUAUAUGUUCAAACUGAUUUUUUAUGAACUUUAUAUUUUUUUCCAACCUCUUCUCAAUUCAUGCCCAAACCUUUAAAUUGUACUGAUUAUUAUAAAAAGCAACUCAAAAUAAGCAAAUAAUUCGUACCCCACUUUAUCACAAUCAUACAAGGUAAAAGAUAAACAAAAUUCAAUUUAUUAUAAUUUACAAAUAAAAAAUUACAUAGUCAUUCGAAAAAUGAAUAAAAGAGAAUGUUAGAGAAAAAGGAAAGAGAAGAAAAUAUCUUUUGUUUCUUUUCUUUUUAAUUUUUGAGCUCCAUUCAUUUGAUAUGUAAAUUAUGUAUUGAGUGAGGGUUAAUAUAAUUUUUUUGCAAUUAUUAGAGGGGGGUAAGUGACAUUUUUAAAACCUUAAAGAUACCCAGUGAUAUUAAGAGAAACCUCCCUUGAGAACAAGGGAGGUUUCUGAUAUUAUCCCUUAACUAGUUAAGACUAUACCCUGACAUUUACAAAGCUACCCUUCCAAAUCUUGCUUCCCCUUUGUUCCAGACGCCUCAUUCCAGUUGCUUGUUCUUUAAAUUUUUUACAGUUUCUGCUCAAUCGCAUGUCCCAUAAUCAUUUCAAAAUUUGCAGUCAAUGAGUGGCAAUUAACACAACCCCCGCACCCAAGCCAAUAUAUGCUACAGUACAACUAAUCUGUAUAUAUAUAUAUAUAUGAGCUAGCUGGGAUCUAUCAUCGUCUACAGAGUUAAGAGUUACAGGUAGUAGCAGUGGUGAUAUGGAUUCUUCGUCAAGAGCAAUCGACAAUGUUGUUGUUGAAGCAGGGCUAGAUGAGCAAGAAGAGCAACACUUCUCGUACGCGAUGCAACUGGUCACCUCUGUAUCUUUGCCCAUGGUGCUGCUGGCUGCCAUCCGGCUCGAUGUGUUGGAGGUCAUUGCCCAAGCGGGUCCAGGUGCCCAAUUGUCGCCUUGGGACAUUGCAGCCCAGGUGUGUCCUAAAAACCCUGAUGCGGCUGCUAUGCUGGAUAGGAUGCUGCAGCUCCUGGCUAGCUACUCGGUGCUCACCUGUUCUGUUGCCGAGGCGGAUGCUAGUAUCAGUAGCCAAAGAAGAGUGUAUGGAUUGGCACCGGUGGCCAAAUACUUUGUGCAGAAC
rnacentral:lncRNA from 1 species